rnacentral:rRNA from 1 species
UACGUAGGGAGCGAGCGUUAUCCGGAAUUAUUGGGUGUAAAGGGUGCGUAGACGGGUUAACAAGUUAGUUGUGAAAUCCCUCGGCUCAACUGAGGAACUGCAACUAAAACUAUUAAUCUUGAGUGCAGGAGAGGUAAGUGGAAUUCCUAGUGUAGCGGUGAAAUGCGUAGAUAUUAGGAGGAACACCAGUGGCGAAGGCGACUUACUGGACUGUAACUGACGUUGAGGCACGAAAGUGUGGGGAGCAAACAGG